rnacentral:rRNA from 1 species
CUGUUCGCCAUUUAAAGUGGUACGCGAGCUGGGUUUAGAACGUCGUGAGACAGUUCGGUCCCUAUCUGCCGUGGGCGUUUGAGAUUUGAGAAGAGCUGCUCCUAGUACGAGAGGACCGGAGUGGACGAACCUCUGGUGUUCCGGUUGUAUCGCCAGAUGCAUUGCCGGGUAGCUACGUUCGGACGGGAUAAACGCUGAAAGCAUCUAAGCGUGAAGCCUCCUUCAAGAUGAGAUCUCACUGACUCCUUGAGAGUCCUGUAGGGCCCUGGAAGACCACCAGGUUGAUAGGUCAGGUGUGUAAGCGUUGUGAGGCGUUGAGCUAACUGAUACUAAUUGCCCGUGAGGCUUGACCAUAUAACACCCAAACGGGU